AUGAACGCUGGCGGCGUGCCUAAUCCAUGCCAGUCGCGCCAACGGACGAGAAUCUUUCUUCUCUUAUGUUAUCGGCGGACGGUUGAGUUACACGUUGAUAACCUACCUAUAAGACUUGGAUUACUUCGGGAAACCGGAGCUAAUACCGGAUAAUAUUUUUAACCGCAUUGUUCAAAAGUUAAAGACGGUCUUUCUUUCACUUAUAUAUGUAUCCGCGCUGCAUUAGCUAGUUGGUAAGGUAACGGCUUAACAAGGCAACGAUUCAUAGCCGACAUGAGAGGGAGAUCGGCAACACGGGAACUGAGACACGGACCAGACACCUACGGGAGGCAGAAGUAGGGAAUCUUCCGCAAUGGGCGAAAGCCUGACGGAGCAACGCCGCGUGAGUGAUGAAGGACUUCGGAUCGUAAAACUCUGUUAUUAGGGAAGAACAAAUGUGUAAGUAACUGUGCACAUAUUGACGGUACCUAAUCAGAAAGCCACGGCUAACUACGUG
rnacentral:rRNA from 1 species